AGAGUUUGAUCCUGGCUCAGGAUGAACGCUGGCGGCGUGCCUAACACAUGCAAGUCGAACGGAGUUCUUAAGGAAUGCGACUUCGGUCAAAUGACUUUUGAACUUAGUGGCGGACGGGUGAGUAACGCGUGAGCAACCUGCCUUUCAGAGGGGGAUAACAUUUGGAAACAGAUGCUAAUACCGCAUAAGAUUACAGUACCGCAUGAUACAGUGAUCAAAGGAGCAAUCCGCUGAAAGAUGGGCUCGCGUCCGAUUAGAUAGUUGGUGAGGUAACGGCUCACCAAGUCGACGAUCGGUAGCCGGACUGAGAGGUUGAACGGCCACAUUGGGACUGAGACACGGCCCAGACUCCUACGGGAGGCAGCAGUGGGGAAUAUUGCACAAUGGGCGAAAGCCUGAUGCAGCAACGCCGCGUGAGGGAAGACGGUUUUCGGAUUGUAAACCUCUGUUUUCGGUGACGAAUAAAUGACGGUAACCGAGUAGGAAGCCACGGCUAACUACGUGCCAGCAGCCGCGGUAAUACGUAGGUGGCAAGCGUUAUCCGGAAUUACUGGGUGUAAAGGGAGCGCAGGCGGGAUAGCAAGUCAGCUGUGAAAACUAUGGGCUCAACCCAUAAACUGCAGUUGAAACUGUUAUUCUUGAGUGGAGUAGAGGCAAGCGGAAUUCCGAGUGUAGCGGUGAAAUGCGUAGAUAUUCGGAGGAACACCAGUGGCGAAGGCGGCUUGCUGGGCUCUAACUGACGCUGAGGCUCGAAAGUGUGGGGAGCAAACAGGAUUAGAUACCCUGGUAGUCCACACUGUAAACGAUGAUUGCUAGGUGUGGGGGGUCUGACCCCCUCCGUGCCGGAGUUAACGCAAUAAGCAAUCCACCUGGGGAGUACGG
rnacentral:rRNA from 1 species